UGAGGGUAAAACGGGACUUUUACGAGAUUUCAGGUCUGCCUGGCUGCCUUGGCGCAAUUGAUGGGACAGCGAUUUCAAUAAUGGCUCCAAGCAGGACAGACCAACGUUUUGUGGAUGGUAACUAUUACUGUCACAAGGGAUAUCAUGCCAUCAACGUGCUUGGGGUGUCGGACGCUACUCGCCGCAUCCUUUACCUAAAUGCAUG